AUACUUUUCUAGGCCUUUUGUUUAUGAUCAAGUGUAGUAUCGGUUCUUAUCAGUUUGAAUUUUGAUAUGUAGAUUUUUAAGUCUACACAGUAUAACAUUAAAUUUUAUGUCUUGAAGGAUCCCCAUAUCUAGCUUGCGACAUGGGUCCUUUGUGUCGCCUAGUGUUGCACUACUACUAAUGCAAACAUGCCAA